rnacentral:lncRNA from 1 species
CGGAAGGUUCCGACCUCAGUAAAGAGAGCUAACGUGUAUUCUUCUUUUUCUUAGGAAAGUAUUCCAUGCUACAUGUGCAAGAAACUUGGAAAACACUGAAAAGUAGAAAAAAUAGCAAGCAAAAGGAUCUCAGCUAAACGGGAAGCAUUUUUGAAAAGUGAUUGCACAAUUGAGAGUGAAAAUUACUGAGUCCUGAACAGGCAACUUACAUUCUAAUACCAGCUCUGUCUCCAUCCAGCCGACUGAAUAGUCGUGAUUAAGUUACUUGACUUCCUUGGAUAUCUAGAUCCUUAAAGUUAAAGAAUUAUACAAGAUAAUAAUAUUUUCUUCAAACUUUAGAAAAUGACUUUAUGAACCGCCUUAAGUUUGUAUGUUUUCAUAGCUUUCAAGAGCUUGUUUACACACUCAAUUCUAGAUUCUAGAUACUUUCUAGAAAAUAACUGACUUAACUCAUUCAAUUGAUAUAUUUGUUAGUUGUACUCCUACUCAUAUGCUUCAGUUAAUUAUAUAUGUUGAACAGGUAGGAAGCAGUGCUGUUUUUAUUUAUUUUAAUAUGUUAUUCAUACAUUUGAAGAAUUAUGUUCUUUCUGUAGGCAGCUGAAUUUUUUUUUUUUUUGA